rnacentral:rRNA from 1 species
UACGUAGGAUGCAAGCGUUAUCCGGAAUUAUUGGGCGUAAAGCGUCCGCAGGUGGCACUUCAAGUCUGCUGUUAAAGACUAGGGCUUAACCGUGGAGCGGCAGUGGAAACUGAAGAGCUAGAGUUCGGUAGGGGUAGAGGGAAUUCCCAGUGUAGCGGUGAAAUGCGUAGAGAUUGGGAAGAACACCGGUGGCGAAAGCGCUCUGCUAGGCCGCAACUGACACUCAUGGACGAAAGCUAGGGGAGCGAAUGGG